GGUGAGUAACACGUGGGCAACCUACCUAUAAGACUGGGAUAACUCGCGGAAACGUGAGCUAAUACCGGAUAAUACUUUUUAUUGCAUAAUAAGAAGUUUGAAAGACGGCGUAAGCUGUCACUUAUAGAUGGGCCCGCGGCGCAUUAGCUAGUUGGUGAGGUAAAGGCUUACCAAGGCAACGAUGCGUAGCCGACCUGAGAGGGUGAUCGGCCACACUGGGACUGAGACACGGCCCAGACUCCUACGGGAGGCAGCAGUAGGGAAUCUUCCGCAAUGGACGAAAGUCUGACGGAGCAACGCCGCGUGAGUGAAGAAGGUUUUCGGAUCGUAAAACUCUGUUGUUAGGGAAGAACAAGUCAGGUAGUAACUGACCUGACCUUGACGGUACCUAACCAGAAAGCCACGGCUAACUACGUGCCAGCAGCCGCGGUAAUACGUAGGUGGCAAGCGUUGUCCGGAUUUAUUGGGCGUAAAGCGCUCGUAGGCGGUCUUUUAAGUCUGAUGUGAAAGCCCACGGCCUAACCGUGGAGGGUCAUUGGAAACUGGAGGACUUGAGUGCAGAAGAGGAGAGUGGAAUUCCAUGUGUAGCGGUGAAAUGCGUAGAGAUAUGGAGGAACACCAGUGGCGAAGGCGACUCUCUGGUCUGUAACUGACGCUGANGAGCGAAAGCGUGGGUAGCGAACAGGAUUAGAUACCCUGGUAGUCCACGCC
rnacentral:rRNA from 1 species